AAUGAACGCUGGCGGCGCGCCUAAUACAUGCAAGUCGAGCGAGAAGACGUAGCAAUACGUUUGUAAAGCGGCGAACGGGUGAGGAAUACAUGGGUAACCGUACCCUCGAGUGGGGAAUAACUAGCCGAAAGGUUAGCUAAUACCGCGUACGCUUCUUGGACUUCGGUUCAGGGAGGAAAGCGAUGCCGAGGGUAUCGCGGCUCUUGGAUGGGCUC
rnacentral:rRNA from 1 species